rnacentral:lncRNA from 1 species
CAAUACUUCCAUUUUUAAACCUGUUCUGUGUUUGUGUAUAUAUUCAAUAAAAUAUAAUUUUCAUUUAAAGUUGUUUAGCUUUUAGGAACCUUGGAGGAAAAAAGUGUCAGACAUAUCCGAUUUAAUAAAGGGGUAUAUUUUAAAUUGAAAUAAAAACUAGAAAUAAAGAUUUAAUCUUGUUCCACUGGGAAAAUCAUCUUAAGUUACCUAAUGUUGUCCAAAAUUCAGAAACAUAAUUCAUGUGUGUUUGUGUGUGUGUGAGUGUGUACACAAGUAUGAGUGUGUUAACUUUGCUUGGGUUCAUGGUCUAAACUCAGUAAACUGCACAAAAUAAGCAAAAAAGCAUAAAAGAUGAAGAUCCCAUGAUUCAGGGCCCAUUUACUUGAUGAAUUUUUGAUAUGUUAGGUAAUCUUUUCAGCAUAUGUGAUCUAUGAAGAGAUUUUCCAUAAAGGCAUUUGGUAAAUGAGUUUCUGAUGAAAUAUACUUCCAGACUUCAGUAUCUUCAGAAAUAAUUCCAUGCUUUCAUAUUUUUGAAUUUAGAGAAUGAUUUAUGUUCCUUCCAGGUAUCCAUGAGGAGAGCUGUCAACAUUCCAUCCUGGAAAACCUUUACUAAGAUCGAUGUUUCCACAAACAUCGAUUUGACCCUCCCAUUCCUCAUUCCAAAACAAUGGACUCACAUCACCCAGAAUUCCACUUUGCUAUGAUUAAAUACACAUAAAGAACUCUUCUUUCCUAUAGCUAUCCACAGGAAGAAAAAUUUCAAGAACUACUGUGUUUUCUGCAUAUGUAUCAAGAAGAAUGCUUUCAUAUCACAUCCAUUAUUGAAAGAUUCAUUCAUCACUGUGCUGAGAGGAUUACAGAUACCUCCUGAAAAUCACAAACUCAUUGAGUUUGCCACUAGGUAAAGUGUUGCAAUAACAAGCCUUAUUUUGCUGUGGAUUCAAGUAACAAAUGUUACCUGAUUCUCAGUAGAGAUACAGUGAAGGAGCAACGUCUCUUUGGACCAGGACAAACAGUGACAAUCAAAAGUACAGAAUGUCAGGACAUCAGGAUUCCUUAGAGCCUGACCCCCCAAAGAGGGUAGGAUACUGAAAGACAGGCUGUUUGUUUUCC